CGGUGGGAGUGAGAGCACUACCCAUGGCUAGGUACUUCCUGUAUAACAUGCGUACACGUUUCUGCCCCCGUACCAGGUCGACAUCCGGUUCCCACCGCCUGGCUCCGACGACCCAAACCGUGUGACAGUAACUGGGCUCCCCGAGCAUGUUGACAAUGCCAUCGAUCAUCUGCUCAACCUAGAGGAAGAAUACAUGAUGGCGAUCGUGGAGUCGGAGACGAUGGCGGCGUACAUGAAGCCCCCGUCCCGGUUGGAGGAAGAGCCCCGAGGCUCGACGAGAGGCUUUGUGGUGAGAGACGCUCCAUGGAACGCACCCGGCAACAAGGCCCCAGACGUGAGCAGUGCAGAGGAUUUUCCCAUGUUUGGAACUGUGGUCACCCCCAGACAGGCGUCCGCCUGGGGCCCGAAGAAAUUCUAGGGCCUUGAGCAGUCGGUAACUUUUGAGAAAAGCUUCUUGUCCAGUUAGAGGAAAAAAAAGAUUUUUUUUUUGUGAAUCUCAGUGUUCUUUUUCUGAAGCUUUGACUUGUCACAGUUUUCUAUAAAAAAAAUUGAAAUGUCCAGAGGUAUUAAGCUGCUGUACCACUGUCCUGUGUACCAUCUGUUUCGAGAAAGAAAGACAGAAAGCCAUACUUCACUUAGUUUACAACAGCCCCCCCCCCCACCUUCACUCUCCCAGUCCUCAGUAGAUUUCUCUUCGGGGCUGCACAUGACAGCAUGGGCUCGACUGUUUGCGAGUUUGUGUGCUGACUGGUUCCCCCCCGUGGUGCUGCUUGUACUGGGUGAGGUGUUGGCCAACCUACUUCAGGAUGGGUUCUCGGAGAAUCGGGGUCUCUCGGCGAGCUCAGAAGCUGACCCUCCUCCCUUACACCCCACUCCCAUGAGGCUUUCAUGCCUGCUGUCUGGUACCAUUCGAAUCGCGGCUUUUAUCGGUCUGUUCUCCUUCGGCCCUGCAGUGUCAGUCAGUUUCAUGAAACCUGCCUUAUCAAGACCGCUCACUCACCUGGAUACCUCUGAGGCAGUGGGAGGACUUCUUCUUUCUCUCUCUGUCUUUCUCUUGUUCUUUGUCUCUCUAUCUCUCUUACUUUUCAUCUUUCUUUCUGUCA